AGUGAACGCUGGCGGUAGGCCUAACACAUGCAAGUCGAACGGCAGCACAGUAAGAGCUUGCUCUUACGGGUGGCGAGUGGCGGACGGGUGAGGAAUACAUCGGAAUCUACUUUUUCGUGGGGGAUAACGUAGGGAAACUUACGCUAAUACCGCAUACGACCUACGGGUGAAAGCAGGGGAUCUUCGGACCUUGCGCGAUUGAAUGAGCCGAUGUCGGAUUAGCUAGUUGGCGGGGUAAAGGCCCACCAAGGCGACGAUCCGUAGCUGGUCUGAGAGGAUGAUCAGCCACACUGGAACUGGGGCCCGGUCCAGACUCCUACGGGAGGCAGCAGUGGGGAAUUUUGGACCAUGGGCGGAAGCCUGAUCCAGCCAUACCGCGUGGGUGAAGAAGGCCUUCGGGUUGUAAAGCCCUUUUGUUGGGAAAGAAAAGCAGCAGGUUAAUACCCCGCUGUUCUGACGGUACCCAAAGAAUAAGCACCGGCUAACUUCGUG
rnacentral:rRNA from 1 species